UAUGCAGCCAUUGGGCCAUU
rnacentral:snRNA from 1 species